rnacentral:rRNA from 1 species
CUAGAGUUUGAUCCUGGCUCAGGAUGAACGCUGGCGGCGUGCCUAACACAUGCAAGUCGAACGAAGCACUUUCUUUAGAUUCUUCGGAUGAAGAAGACUGUGACUGAGUGGCGGACGGGUGAGUAACGCGUGGGCAACCUGCCCUGUACAGGGGGAUAACAGUUAGAAAUGACUGCUAAUACCGCAUAAGCGCACGAGGACGCAUGUUCUUGUGUGAAAAACUCCGGUGGUACAGGAUGGGCCCGCGUCUGAUUAGGUAGUUGGUGGGGCAGCGGCCUACCAAGCCGACGAUCAGUAGCCGACCUGAGAGGGUGACCGGCCACAUUGGGACUGAGACACGGCCCAAACUCCUACGGGAGGCAGCAGUGGGGAAUAUUGCACAAUGGGGGAAACCCUGAUGCAGCGACGCCGCGUGAAGGAAGAAGUAUUUCGGUAUGUAAACUUCUAUCAGCAGGGAAGAAACUGACGGUACCUGACUAAGAAGCACCGGCUAAAUACGUGCC